ACUGGAUUAAAAAAUAAUACUUAUAUGAUGCCUACAAGAGGCUCAUUUUAUCUUAUUUUAAAGAUUUUAUUUAUUUUUAAAAUUUAUGUCAUUUUAUUUUAGAGAGAGAGAGAGAGAGUGUGUGUGAGCCGGGGAGAGGGGCAGAGGGAGAAAGAGAGCGAAUCUUCGGCAGGCUCCAUGCUCAACACCGGAGGCUGAUGUGGGCCUUGAUCCCAUGACACUGAGACCACGACCCCAGCUGAAAUCAAGAGAGGGACGCUCAACCAACUGAGCCACCCAGGCACCGCAUCAGUGACGGUGAUUUUUAAGAAAGCUUUCCCUGGAUGCAAUAUGGAGAGUGGACUAGAGGGAAGAACUAACGGAUGUAGGAAUCCUAGUUUGGAGCUGUGGCCAUAAUGCAGGUGCUGUUCUCCGCUCAUGUAAAUUAUCGGUUGAUAUUUUGAACGUUGGGAGAUACGAGAAGGCGUGAAAAGUUCUGCGAGGAAAAGCUUCCAUCCACCGGGUAAAAGUAUCUGUGAAGCCAGGAGUUAUUUAUAUCCUCUGCAGGGAUGGGCAUAAUUGUAAAAUCAACCUGCCAGUCUUUCCCAGGUAAAGUUCCUCUUUGUGCAGCUUUGGCUAGAGGUGGGACGGGGGGAGGUUCGUUUGCACAUCUUUUUUUUUUUUAGGUUUAUUUAUUUUUGACAGAGAGAGAGUGAGAGCGAGAGAGUGAGAGAGAGAGAGAGAGAGAGAGAGAGAGCGUGAGCGGGGGAGGGGCAGAGAGAGAGGGAGCCACAGAAUCCGAAGCAGGCUCCAGGCUCUGAGCUGUCAGCACAGAGCCCAACGCAGGGCUCGAACUCACAAACCGGGAGAUAAUGACCUGAGCCAAAGUCAGACGCUCAACUGACUGAGCCACCCAGGCGCCCCAAUUUUUAAAUUUAUUUUGAGAUAGAGAGAGAGAGCAGGAGAGUGCAGAGAGAGAGAGGGAGAGAGAGAAUUCCAAGGGCUCCAAUUCAGUGUGGAGCCCCAGGCGGGGCUUGAACUCACGAACCCCGAGGUUGUGACCUGAGCCGAAAUCAAGAGUCAAGCACUUAACCAACUGAGCCACCCAGGUGCCCCUAGCUAUUUAUAUUUUCAAAAAGCCUCUCCCCUUACCCCCCACCUCCACCUUUUUUCCUUCAGUUUUGGGAACGGGGAAUGAUCUGGAUAAAAGUUCCCAGAGAGGUUGAAGGACUUUGAAUUAUUAAUGGGGCCAUAUUUCUAGUUUUUGCAAAGAUGUACGAUAUAAGGACAGAGGCUUUUCACUCCUUCGAGGAGCUGGGUUGCAGUUUCAUUGACAUUGAAAUUGACCUACCCAUCUAAUUACAUUUUUUUUAAUU